AGGCUUUGAUCCUGGCUCAGGACGAACGCUGGCGGCGUGCCUAACACAUGCAAGUCGAGCGAAGCUUUACGGGUAGCUUGCUACCUGUUAAGACUGAGCGGCGAACGGGUGAGCAACACGUGGGUAAUCUGCCUGAAAGACCGGGAUAACAGUUCGAGAGGGCUGCUAAUACCGGAUGAAGUUGGUGAUGUAAUGUCACUGACCAAAGCGUUAUGUAGCGCUUUCAGAUGAGCCCGCGUCCCAUUAGUUAGUUGGUGAGGUAAAGGCUCACCAAGGCGACGAUGGGUAGCCGGUCUGAGAGGAUGGUCGGCCACACUGGAACUGAGACACGGUCCAGACUCCUACGGGAGGCAGCAGUGGGGAAUUUUGCGCAAUGGGGGCAAUCCUGACGCAGCGACGCCGCGUGAGCGAUGAAGGCCUUCGGGUUGUAAAGCUCUGUCUAGGGGGAAGAUAGUGACGGUACCCUCUGGAGGAAGCCCCGGGUAA
rnacentral:rRNA from 1 species